GAUGCCCAUGGAUGAACUUUGCCAACAGCUGAAACUUCCCAUGGAGAAGAUCAAGUAACCUCUCUCUCCCCUUCUCCCCAGGCCAUUAUCAAGCUAGAGAUGAAUGCCCGAUAUACAUUGCAAGAGAUGUCAAUGGAGUUCAGAGGUGGAAGCUAUCGUAAAUCCCAGAAUCCAGAUAUGAUGCUCGUUGCAAGACCUGGAACUUUCAGUAGCUUGCUCUCGAUCCGUAGCGUUUGAUAAAUCUUGAAAUCUCAAUAAGAUGUCUGGAGUUGAUGGCCGAUAAGCAUUAUGCGCACAUGUUGCAUUUCCCUGUUGGUGGGUAAAAGCUCCUCUUUUUUAAAUAUAUAAUAUCCGUAAAUGAAUUUAUCUUAAUUCCAUAACGUCACGUGAAUUAAUUUAAUAUUCCGAUAACUAAACAAGCAAAGGCUUCUCUUUUUUAAAUAAUUUAUCCCUCUAGCUACGUGAUUGGUCGCCCUGAAAGUGUAGGAAAAUCAAACAAAUCAAGUGAGAUAUGUAAAACAUGACAUUUUUAUUAUUUUAUUUCUUAUACUGGCAGUGAAGAAAUGGUGCUGUAGUUUUAAGAGGGCGAAUGAGCAUUAUGAUAUAGUCAAGAAAUGGUGCUUGUCUCUUCGUCAAAAAUCUGCCUUCAAAGCUAAUAUCAUUAUAUCAGUGCCUGGAUGUUAAAGUUUGAUCAUAUUCAAUUUAUAUGUUUUAAAUAUAUGUGGCAUUCAAAAUUUUAAUCUACUGUGUUUUAUAAAGUUUGAUAAUAUCCAGUUUGUGUUCCGUUAGGAGUUUGAUAUUUGCUUCAGAGCAUCUUUGUUUGGACUAUUGAUAUGUUGAGAGCAGGAAGAGUGCAAUAGGAUUUUUGGAGCUACAGCCUGUCUCUUCGAUUCUAGGAGCUGCUCUUUUGCAAGGUGGCCAUUUAAUUUCAGUGGAAAAUCUCUUGUUUAGUUGUGAACAGUACUCUAUUUCCAUGUAAAUGUUGCCCUCUCCCCACGUCUCUCAUAUAUUUUUUCAAAAAAUUCUGUCUCUAACUCCUCCGGCAUCCAGUUCGGAACCUCCUCCGCUGCCUAUAGUGAUGGAUUCAUACCUCUCAGUCAGCUUACCACAAAAGACCACUCCUCUUCUAAAAACGAUGGAACAGGCUGGAUCAGUUGCAGGAAAUGGUUGUGUGUAUUGACAGAAAAAUUCAGUGCAAGUCUUUUAAUUUUGAUCUUCAUUUUUACCUUCUCCUUUUGCUUUAUGGAGUUUAAGUCAGAGAAAGUUUGGUGCUCCAGAAAUCAAAUCAUGAACUUAAAACUUGUUGAUAUACUAAAUCAAAUUUGGGGUUUUUUCUUUGUUGUAGAAACUAGUUUUGACUUGUGUUUAACCUUAGGAGGGUGCAUGAGCACUUUGACAUUGGAAAUGUAGACAGCAGAGUAUGUUACCUGUCCUCUUCAUUUCCCCUGCCAAUGCAUUGUGGUAUGAUUUCUUUAACAUUUUAAAUCUUCUGAUUAUACAAUAGGGACAGACUAUCAUUGUUUUCAUGGAGGCCAUAGGCUUUCCUGACCA